CAAAUAAUUCUGGCCUUGAGGGUUUGUAGUUCCUUUAAGAACUAAAUUGUCAUGGUAAUGACCCCGUAAUGUAGUAAGAGCUGUGAUCGAAGAGAGCACUCACCUCAGUAGUCUUCUCCAGGCAGGAAGGUGUUUCUGUGGGUUGUGCUCAGUGGGCUACUACUAGCUGGAGCAAAUUUUAUGCUGGGGGAAAGAAGCUGACUUUAGUGUGGUUGAAGGAGUGAGUAACUGAAGAGUGCUACUUCCAUGCUUCAGAUUGGUUGUUUUACUGUUUCUUAUGCUGUAGUGCCAAAAUCUUAUAUGAGCAUCUACAUGUUCAGACUGUUAAUGAACUACCUCUUCAGACUAACUGAGCGUGCACCGCCAGCUACAGCUUUGGAAAGUGAAAGAACUGGAAAUUUGCCAUCCUGAAGGUCAACUGUGCUCUUGAGAAAUGGGGUGGAAUGGAGGAGAGUAACAGCAAAAAUGCUGGAAAUGGAAGUUAAAUGUUGAAAAUUCAAGAGGACUGCAGAUAUGAAGGACUUUCAACUGUACAUUUAGAGAAGAACUAAACAUUUGGAGAAGACUGCUGAAAGGGGGGACAAGCUCACUGCCUGCACUUCAGUUAUUUUUUCAGUCAUCGCUGGGCACUUAUGUAAAGCUUCAACAAUCUUUUUCUUGUUGUUGUCAAUUAGAGAGCAGCAGAACUGCUUUGUUUAUCUACUGCUUUUUCUGAAAGCAGAUGAACUGACUGAAUAGUGUUCUUUUCUGGUACUGAAUUAUAAUGCUUCAUAACAUGAGUCCACUAACUUAAACUAAAUAAUGUCAACCUAGUUUGCAGGGAAUCUAAUUCAGAAGGAUAGAGCUUAAAUUUUACACAACACAGAUGGUGGUUUUUAUUUUUAUCCUCUGUUGUAAUGAAAAUUUGUAACAACAGUUUUAAACUUUUAAUCUAAGAAGGUUGUCAGUCCAAAGUUUGGUCAAAAUUAGGACAAAAGUAAAUUUUUGACCCUUCAGCAAAUCUAGAUAUCUAGUCCUGCAAAAGCUGACCUGUAGUUGAAUAUUUUUAGGAAAUAAAGAUAGAAGGUGGCAUGGAGAUGACAGUUUAUAAGUUUUUACUCCAUGGAAGCAGAGCACAUUAAAAUUGCAAGUGAUAAAGGUUUUUGUUUGUUGUCAUGCAGUAGGAAGCAUUCUGAGUGACUCCAGCAUUGUUUUUCUCUUGUCAACAAGAUCAUUUGAAGAAAAAUAGUUGUGUUUCUAAAAUAAUAGUCUCUCCUGUCAAAGAACUGCUGAAUACUUGGUUCUGCUACAAGGAUUUUUAUGAGAGGAGCAAGAAUAAUUUAGAAACAUCAAGAAAAAAAUGGCUAUGCUUGGAUGUUUAGAGAAUCUACGCUGUCUGUUUAGCUAUAAAUGUGCUGUGGCAGUCAGAAACACUUGCCAAACCUCACUGCAACCAAACUCCACUUUACUUUAAAAGUCUUUAUUGUGUUGUGUUUUUUUGUUUUUGUUUGUUUUGUUAUUGAGAGGAACUGACACUGACUUAAUUUAUCAUAUGUCUUCUUCAUAAUCUGGGUAUUCAAAAAAAUAAAGAUGAGUCUCAAAGAAGAGCUUAGGCCUUUAAAAUCCUUUACAGCAAUUCAGUUAUACUGCUAUGAAGCAUACGCUUACAUUUCUCUCAUAUUGUAUUUGUGUAUGGAAAGGUGUUCCAUGGCAUGUAUAAAAGAUGGAGAGAGAGAAUGAAGAAGGAACAGAGGAUUAAAAACAUUCUAAAUUCACUUUAAAAUACAUUGUAUCAAGUUAUAUUAGUUAUGGGCAUUUUUCAAAUCCUGAAACUAGGCAUCCAACACCUUUUGAUUAUGUUUGCCUAGAAACAUGUAUAGCUGUUAACUACUUGAGGUUUUGCACUGAUAGAAAAUGUCAACAAUUCCUAAUUGUUCAUACCAAUGCUAAAAAUCUGCCUGAGUUUUAAUACUGCCAU